rnacentral:rRNA from 1 species
UCAGAGCGAACGCUGGCGGCAGGCUUAACACAUGCAAGUCGAGCGGGCGUAGCAAUACGUCAGCGGCAGACGGGUGAGUAACGCGUGGGAACAUACCUUUUGGUUCGGAACAACACAGGGAAACUUGUGCUAAUACCGGAUAAGCCCUUACGGGGAAAGAUUUAUCGCCGAAAGAUUGGCCCGCGUCUGAUUAGCUAGUUGGUGAGGUAAUGGCUCACCAAGGCGACGAUCAGUAGCUGGUCUGAGAGGAUGAUCAGCCACWUUGGGACUGAGACACGGCCCAAACUCCUACGGGAGGCAGCAGUGGGGAAUAUUGGACAAUGGGCGCAAGCCUGAUCCAGCCAUGCCGCGUGAGUGAUGAAGGCCCUAGGGUUGUAAAGCUCUUUUGUGCGGGAAGAUAAUGAC